rnacentral:misc_RNA from 1 species
AAAAAUAUCAAUUUUUUUAAAGAUAAAAUGAAUUGGUUUUCAGUUCUUGGCCUGGUGGGCCUUACUGUAGCAGCAAAUGUGGAGGUUAUCUUGGAUGCAAGGUCCCCUUUAACCCGUGAAGUAUAUGGGUCUCCAGAAACAAAAACCAUUCUAACUGUUGACCAGGAAUAUGUUGAUAAUAUACAGAGCAAAGUAAAAGAAGAAGAUCUGACUGCAGCAGUUCUUCUGGUUGAUGAUGCUAGUACGGAGGAAUCCUGUAAUCUAGUUCCAUGUUUUGAUGACCUAGAAGAGUAUGUGAACAGUUCAUAUCCCCAGAAGAUUGAAAUAUCGUAUCCGGAAGAUUUAAGCUUUGAGGGACUUAAAAAAUCGCUGGAGUUGGAAAGAAUUCUACUGAUUGAUGUGAGGAAUAGAUCUGAGCUAGUGGAUCCAGGACAAAUUCCAGGCAGCGUUAACCUUCCCCUUCAUGAGAUCCCUCAAGCUUUUGAGCUGAGCCCUCAACAAUUUGAAGAAAAGUAUAAUUUCACUGUUCCUGAACCCCUGGAUAGAAAUAUUGUCCUCACCUGCAGAUCUGGAAAAAGAAUAUUGGUUGCAAAGGAAAGAAUGGAAGCUCUUGGUUAUGAAUAUCUAAGGCUGUACCGGGGUAGCUUUAAUGACUGGGUUGCAAAUGGUGGCGAUAUCAUUUAGUUUAUUAAUAAAGAAAUAUAUCUAUAUUAUAUAUAAAUAUAUUUAUAUUAUAUUCAAAUAUAUUUAUAUUAUAUAAAAAUACAUUUUGUAUAUCAACGAUGCUGUCGAUUAACGUUAAUCAGAUUUUUAUAUAUUGACUUUUGCUCUUUUUAUGAUGUAUAUGUAUGUUGUAUGAACCUAAAUCGUAAUAAAAGUAGAGUAGUAAUUA